rnacentral:rRNA from 2 species
GAAUGCUGACAUAAGUAACGAUAAAGCGGGUGAAAAGCCCGCUCGCCGGAAGACCAAGGGUUCCUGUCCAACGUUAAUCGGGGCAGGGUGAGUCGACCCCUAAGGCGAGGCCGAAAGGCGUAGUCGAUGGGAAACGGGUUAAUAUUCCCGUACUUGGUGUUACUGCGAAGGGGGGACGGAGAAGGCUAUGUUGGCCGGGCGACGGUUGUCCCGGUUUAAGCGUGUAGGUGUGUGUUCCAGGUAAAUCCGGUUCACUUUAACACUGAGGCGUGACGACGAGGCACUACGGUGCUGAAGCAACAAAUGCCCUGCUUCCAGGAAAAGCCUCUAAGCAUCAGGUAACAUCAAAUCGUACCCCAAACCGACACAGGUGGUCAGGUAGAGAAUACCAAGGCGCUUGAGAGAACUCGGGUGAAGGAACUAGGCAAAAUGGUGCCGUAACUUCGGGAGAAGGCACGCUGACACGUAGGUGAAGUGAUUUACUCAUGGAGCUGAAGUCAGUCGAAGAUACCAGCUGGCUGCAACUGUUUAUUAAAAACACAGCACUGUGCAAACACGAAAGUGGACGUAUACGGUGUGACGCCUGCCCGGUGCCGGAAGGUUAAUUGAUGGGGUCAGCGCAAGCGAAGCUCCUGAUCGAAGCCCCGGUAAACGGCGGCCGUAACUAUAACGGUCCUAAGGUAGCGAAAUUCCUUGUCGGGUAAGUUCCGACCUGCACGAAUGGCGUAAUGAUGGCCAGGCUGUCUCCACCCGAGACUCAGUGAAAUUGAACUCGCUGUGAAGAUGCAGUGUACCCGCGGCAAGACGGAAAGACCCCGUGAACCUUUACUAUAGCUUGACACUGAACAUUGAGCCUUGAUGUGUAGGAUAGGUGGGAGGCUUUGAAGUGUGGACGCCAGUCUGCAUGGAGCCGACCUUGAAAUACCACCCUUUAAUGUUUGAUGUUCUAACGUGGACCCGUUACCCGGGUUGCGGACAGUGUCUGGUGGGUAGUUUGACUGGGGCGGUCUCCUCCUAAAGAGUAACGGAGGAGCACGAAGGUUGGCUAAUCCUGGUCGGACAUCAGGAGGUUAGUGCAAUGGCAUAAGCCAGCUUGACUGCGAGCGUGACGGCGCGAGCAGGUGCGAAAGCAGGUCAUAGUGAUCCGGUGGUUCUGAAUGGAAGGGCCAUCGCUCAACGGAUAAAAGGUACUCCGGGGAUAACAGGCUGAUACCGCCCAAGAGUUCAUAUCGACGGCGGUGUUUGGCACCUCGAUGUCGGCUCAUCACAUCCUGGGGCUGAAGUAGGUCCCAAGGGUAUGGCUGUUCGCCAUUUAAAGUGGUACGCGAGCUGGGUUUAGAACGUCGUGAGACAGUUCGGUCCCUAUCUGCCGUGGGCGCUGGAGAACUGAGGGGGGCUGCUCCUAGUACGAGAGGACCGGAGUGGACGCAUCACUGGUGUUCGGGUUGUCAUGCCAAUGGCACUGCCCGGUAGCUAAAUGCGGAAGAGAUAAGUGCUGAAAGCAUCUAAGCACGAAACUUGCCCCGAGAUGAGUUCUCCCUGAGACUUAGAGUCUCCUGAAGGAACGUUGAAGACGACGACGUUGAUAGGCCGGGUGUGUA